AGCUAUCACCCCACUGGUCGCCAGGGUUGAUCAGCUGAUCUGGCUGGCUAAGCAGGU
rnacentral:sRNA from 14 species